UGAGUAACGCGUGGGAACAUACCCUUUCCUGCGGAAUAGCUCCGGGAAACUGGAAUUAAUACCGCAUACGCCCUACGGGGGAAAGAUUUAUCGGGGAAGGAUUGGCCCGCGUUGGAUUAGCUAGUUGGUGGGGUAAAGGCCUACCAAGGCGACGAUCCAUAGCUGGUCUGAGAGGAUGAUCAGCCACAUUGGGACUGAGACACGGCCCAAACUCCUACGGGAGGCAGCAGUGGGGAAUAUUGGACAAUGGGCGCAAGCCUGAUCCAGCCAUGCCGCGUGAGUGAUGAAGGCCUUAGGGUUGUAAAGCUCUUUCACCGAUGAAGAUAAUGACGGUAGUCGGAGAAGAAGCCCCGGCUAACUUCGUGCCAGCAGCCGCGGUAAUACGAAGGGGGCUAGCGUUGUUCGGAAUUACUGGGCGUAAAGCGCACGUAGGCGGAUAUUUAAGUCAGGGGUGAAAUCCCGCAGCUCAACUGCGGAACUGCCUUUGAUACUGGGUAUCUUGAGUAUGGAAGAGGUAAGUGGAAUUCCGAGUGUAGAGGUGAAAUUCGUAGAUAUUCGGAGGAACACCAGUGGCGAAGGCGGCUUACUGGUCCAU
rnacentral:rRNA from 1 species